CACGUAGGGUGCGAGCGUUUGUCCGGAAUUAUUGGGCGUAAAGAGCUCGUAGGCGGUGUGUCGCGUCGGCCGUGAAAACCUGCAGCUUAACUGUGGGCGUGCGGUCGAUACGGGCAUCACUGGAGUUCGGCAGGGGAGACUGGAAUUCCUGGUGUAGCGGUGAAAUGCGCAGAUAUCAGGAGGAACACCAGUGGCGAAGGCGGCUCUCUGGGACGUGACUGACGCUGAGACGCGAAAGCGUGGGGAGCGAAACAGGAUUAGAACUACCGUAGU
rnacentral:rRNA from 1 species